UACGGAGGGGGCUAGCGUUGUUCGGAAUUACUGGGCGUAAAGCGCACGUAGGCGGACUGGAAAGUCAGAGGUGAAAUCCCAGGGCUCAACCUUGGAACUGCCUUUGAAACUAUCAGUCUGGAGUUCGAGAGAGGUGAGUGGAAUUCCGAGUGUAGAGGUGAAAUUCGUAGAUAUUCGGAGGAACACCAGUGGCGAAGGCGACUCACUGGCUCGAUACUGACGCUGAGGUGCGAAAGCGUGGGGAGCAAACAGG
rnacentral:rRNA from 1 species